ensembl:lncRNA
CAGUUCUGGCUGGGUGUUAAAUCCUACUCACCCAUUUUUUUCCUUCUCCAUCACUGCCUACAACGGUGGAGAACCCAUAGGGUUAUACAGAGAUGUUUGGAAUACGUAGGGUUAAAAGCAGCCCCAUCUGCAUCAAAAAUAAUUGCUUCAUCUAGCCAAGGAGGAUUUUGCAAUUUUCCCACCACUACCACCCAUUCUUUCUGCCCAGAAAGGUACAGGACAUGACGAGAAGUUACAGACAGAGCUGGGCAAAGCGUGCAGCUGCUUUAUUAUGAAUACGUGCUGGUAUUUCUGCAGCAAACCCAGUCCCGUGGCCAUGCAGUUCAGCUCUGUUUUUGCAAAUACUCCUGGGAGCUAAUUUAUAAAGCAGGUGUGCUCACCGAAACAUGACUGGUGCUGGUCCCGUUAGCAAGAUGGGAAUGAGAAACUGUUGAGAAAAAGCACAGACAUCAAGUCCCAGCAAAGCUAUCCUUUGCAACAGAGCCAAGGCUUUACCUCUGGACUUGCUUCUAGCUCUCCCCUGAUGCUCUCCAGUUAUCCUAUUUUUGGUGAGGGCUGCAGGCUGCCCCGCUAACGUGAUGGCAAGGAGAAAUGGCAAUGAACGCAGCAAAUCCUUCCAGCAGAGGAACAAACCCAAAUCCUAACGCUGCUGCAAUCUGGGAGGCUGCUCGUGCAAAACGUUGCAGGGCAGAGGUGUUUGCAGAGUCAUUCUGAAUAAUUUCGGUAAUUAAGAAAUUAGAGUAAUUAUGGUCUUUCCUGAGAGAACUCCAGAAUAAACGCAUACAUCAGUGUGAGCUUGGAGAGAGCAGGUUAUUCCUUACUGUGAUUGUCUCAACAGCAGCAGUUGGACUCGAUGAUCCUUAUGGGUCCCUUCCAGCUCUGGGUGUUCUAUGAUUCUAGCAGCUUCUUCUGGGCUGCAUCUCUGCUGUUUGCUGGGAAAAGCUGUGGUGGGGAGAUGCCACCAGACAGGAACAAGGGCAUAAGAGGACAGCUCUGGGCAGCUAACGCAUUUAUUCAGGAUGAAUAAGCCCCUUGUGGUAAGCAGAGCUCCCUAAUCUCCCUCUCUCGUGGUGUAACGACUCCAGUAGCAUCAGCUCUUUGCUGUACCCGGCGAUUUUUCCUACCAAUUACCCACCGGUUCCAGUCCAUCUCCCCCUGAAAUAACAGACAGGUCAUUAACAUCGAAUUCCAGCUGGAUGAUAGGGGAAUUUGUUGCUGAGAUGAUCGCCGAAGCCACGGUGAUGAAUGGGCUCAGAGGGAAUUUAGGGCAUUAUUUCCCAGUGCUCACUGCCGGUUAUCUCCUUUGCUCUGUGCUUUGUCUGCAGCCCACAGGCCGACUCCUCAAUUGCUUGUCAGUUCUAUUUCAGGGGUUAUUUCUGUACAGGGAUGUGCGUGUGUCUCCAGGCUCUGCUUUCCCUUACCACUCUUCUUGUUCAAGAGACAAGGCAACAACAAUUAGCCCCAUGGAGGGGAUGAUGCUUUGGAUUGGGCUUGUUGUACUUGGCACCCCGUCAGCAGACAGCUCUGUGAUGAGGAAGGUGCUCGUUUACGAGACUUUAAUCAUUCCUGGAGAGCAGCUCGCUGCUAUAAAAGGAGCUCCUUUGCUUUUGAAGACAGUGAGCUCAGUGGCGUUAUCACAAGCUGUUUAAUAGCAGAGAUGGAUCAAAGAGAAAGAUUCCCAGCUGCAGCCCAAUAAAUUCUGUGCACAGCUGCUGCUGAAGCAGGUUAUCACCUGAAGAGCUGGGGCAACCCGUGGCACAGGGCUGACUUUUAACAGUCCCAACCACCAGGAGCAGGAAGAUGUGCAGCCACUCUCUUUCAUCCAGUGCCAGCUGGUCCAGUGGCAAGCAACACAGAGCCAAGGAAAUCAC